rnacentral:rRNA from 1 species
GUUCUUCGGGACAGAGAGAGCGGCGUACGGGUGCGGAACACGUGUGCAACCUACCUUUAUCAGGGGGAUAGCCUUUCGAAAGGAAGAUUAAUACCCCAUAAUAUAUUGACUGGCAUCAGUUAGUAUUGAAAACUCCGGUGGAUAGAGAUGGGCACGCGCAAGAUUAGAUAGUUGGUAGGGUAACGGCCUACCAAGUCAGUGAUCUUUAGGGGGCCUGAGAGGGUGAUCCCCCACACUGGUACUGAGACACGGACCAGACUCCUACGGGAGGCAGCAGUGAGGAAUAUUGGACAAUGGGUGAAAGCCUGAUCCAGCCAUCCCGCGUGAAGGACGACGGUUCUAUGGAUUGUAAACUUCUUUUAUAUAGGGAUAAACCUCUUUACGUGUAAAGAGCUGAAGGUACUAUAUGAAUAAGCACCGGCUAACUCCGUGCCAGCAGCCGCGGUAAUACGGAGGGUGCAAGCGUUAUCCGGAUUUAUUGGGUUUAAAGGGUCCGUAGGCGGAUCUGUAAGUCAGUGGUGAAAUCUCAUAGCUUAACUAUGAAACUGCCAUUGAUACUGCAGGUCUUGAGUAAAGUAGAAGUGGCUGGAAUAAGUAGUGUAGCGGUGAAAUGCAUAGAUAUUACUUAGAACACCAAUUGCGAAGGCAGGUCACUAUGUUUUAACUGACGCUGAUGGACGAAAGCGUGGGGAGCGAACAGGAUUAGAUACCCUGGUAGUCCACGCCGUAAACGAUGCUAACUCGUUUUUGGGACUUCGGUUUCAGAGACUAAGCGAAAGUGAUAAGUUAGCCACCUGGGGAGUACGUUCGCAAGAAUGAAACUCAAAGGAAUUGACGGGGGCCCGCACAAGCGGUGGAUUAUGUGGUUUAAUUCGAUGAUACGCGAGGAACCUUACCAAGGCUUAAAUGGGAAUUGACAGGUUUAGAAAUAGACUUUUCUUCGGACAAUUUUCAAGGUGCUGCAUGGUUGUCGUCAGCUCGUGCCGUGAGGUGUUAGGUUAAGUCCUGCAACGAGCGCAACCCCUGUCACUAGUUGCCAUCAUUCAGUUGGGGACUCUAGUGAGACUGCCUACGCAAGUAGAGAGGAAGGUGGGGAUGACGUCAAAUCAUCACGGCCCUUACGCCUUGGGCCACACACGUAAUACAAUGGCCAGUACAGAGGGCAGCUACCUAGCGAUAGGAUGCGAAUCUCGAAAGCUGGUCUCAGUUCGGAUUGGAGUCUGCAACUCGACUCUAUGAAGCUGGAAUCGCUAGUAAUCGCGCAUCAGCCAUGGCGCGGUGAAUACGUUCCCGGGCCUUGUACACACCGCCCGUCAAGCCAUGGAAGUUUGGGGUACCUGAAGUCGGUGACC